ensembl:lncRNA
GGUACUGGUCCAAAUGGUUUGACUGCAUAUAUGUCCUCCGAAUCUAUGGUACAGACUGAAGAGGAUUAUCAAAAAGAAAAAGAAAAAAAACUAAUCGAAUUGGAUAUUCAGAAAAAUGAAAAAAAUAAGGAUAUAUUAAAUUAUGCAUAUAAAAUAGAAGCAUAUCGUAAUGAUAUAAAUAAUUUACGAGAAUCAAUACAAAAAUGUAAGUUUGCACAAGAUGAAUUAAAAACGAAAUUAAAAAACGUAAAUGAGUUAAUUGAUAAACAUGUUAAUUUAUUUUCUGAACAGUUGGAUCUUGAAAUAAAAGAAAAAAAUAUAAUAUUAGAUGAAUUUAAUAAAAAUGUAAAUGAAAUAAAUGAAUAUAUAAAUGUGUAUGAAGAAAAAAAAAUAUAUAAUACAUACAUAUGUAAAUUAUAUACAUGUUUAGUAACAGAUCAUGAUAAAUAUCUAGAACGAAAAAAAAAUCAAUUUUGUCAUUUUGUAAGAGAAUAUAACAAUUUAAAAGAAAUAUAUAUUAAGUUAGAAAAGGAACAACAAAGAAAUGAUGAAACUGCUAUAAAAAAUAAGAAAAUAUUUUUCUUAAAUUUAAAUAAAAUGCAUCAUAUAUUUUUCGAAUCUUUUAUUAAUAACUCUAUAGGUUAUGAUAGUAUUUUUUUAAAGUCUCCUUUUUUGCUUAUAAAAGAAAAACAUGAAAUAGAGUAUGUUAUGAAUAUAUAUGACGUGGUUAUACAAAAAAAUAGACAACAUAUAAGUAAUAAACAAACAGAAACUGUAAUAGCAGAAGUGGAACCGGAGAAUAAUAAUAAUAAUAAUAAUAACAACAGUAUAGAAGAUAAAAAAAUAAAAAUGAUGUUUUAUUAUACCAUAACAUAUCCAAAUAAAUCAGGAGGCAAUACAGAAACAAGACAAGUAUCAGUGAACAUUCCUACAUCUUGUUUAAGUUUAUUUAAUAAACUUUUUUUAGUAAAUUCUAAUGGCGAAAAAGAUAAAAAAGGUGAUAAUAUUAGUGACGAAGAAACGACUAAAAGUAAUAGUACUGAUGAUGACGAAUAUAUUAGUUUUAAAAAACAAGAACAUAAUACUUAUGUAAAAGCAAAAGGUUUUAAUAAUCAAAGUAUGGAAGAAGGGAUAGAAGAUAUAGUUGAAUAUGAUACAUAUAUUAGAGAUUUAGUUAAAAGGGAUAUACAAUCUGGGAUGGAAUCAGAAGAGGAGACAGAAGUGGUGACAGAAAUGGUGACAGAAAUGGUGACAGAAAUAGUGACAGAUGAGAAGACAGGGGUGGAGAAGGAAACGGAUAUACAUAUACAACAACGUGAACAAACACAAAGGAAUGUAAACAUUUUCGAUGUAAAUCGAAAUCAUACCACUGACAUUGGAAAUGAAAAUACAUACAAUAGUAAUAAUGAUAUAUCUACCUAUGCAGAUAUAUUAUGGAAAAAACGAUGUGAAAAAAAACACGAAUUAACUAUAAUGAUAAAAAAUAUGGGUUGUUAUGAAACAGAACUUACUGAUAAUUCUAUAAAAGCAUAUUUUAACAAACUAAUGGAAGAAUAUAUAACAGAAGAUACAUAUUAUCAAAACCAAUUAAAACAAAUAAACGAAUUAAAAUUAAAUUAUAAUAUGCAUUCAUGUAAUAUUAAAUUAAGAAAAGUAAAAUUUGCUAAUACUUUAAAAAAAAACGAAAAAAAGUAUUAUAACCAAUUUUCAAAAUAUUUUACAAAGUAUGAAUAAUUAUAAAGGUAAAAUUCUAAUUGAUGAAUCAAUUAAAAGUUUUAAAGUUUUAGUUUCUUUAAAUAAUCGUAUUUCAAAAAAGUCUUAUCUGAAUAUUAAUUCGUUAUCAGGAGGUGAAAAAUCAACUAUACAGAUGGCUUUGUUGGCUUCAUUUUCCUUAACGGAAUAUUCUGCAUUCCACAUUUUCGACGAGUUGGACGUUUAUAUGGACGAGCUUACCCGUGUUAAAAAGUAACAAAAAAAAAAAAAAAAAAAUAAAAUAAAAUAAUAAAAAAAAUGGUGGUGGUAA